GGAAGAAUGCAUUGCAAGUCCUUGAACGACUUGCCGGCAAAUGCCUGAAGAUCGGUUAUUUCUUCAGAUAUGCCAAUGGCAAUUACCUGAUGUGCAACAGUUUCUGUA